GUGGCUGAAGCUGUGGCCGCUUUCCUGCUGAGACACAAGUUUGCUGAAGCCAGAAGAGAAACCAGAAGCUCCAACUCGUUCACACGAUGAGGUCUACAGACGAGUAAACGAACUCCAGAUUCAGAGCGAACUGCUUUGCUUCCACAAGUUCCUAAAGACCCGCACAGACCUUCAUUUUUAUUUUCCAUCUUCAUCCUUCAUCAGAAGCUGCUCUCUAGUUUCAACCUCAGGCUGUAGCUGGGAACCAGUUGUUUUAUUGUUUCUGCUCCAUUAUUAAGGCAUUUACCUCCAAACAUUAUUGUGUUUUGCAUUUGGUGAUGGAAACACUUUAUAUUGGAGUCAAUUUCUUUAAAAAAUACUUAUUGUAAGUGAAAAUUAUGACAUUCUGAGUCAUAAUUACACAAUAAUAAAGACAGAAACUAUGACUGUAUGUCAAUAGUUCAGGAAAUUAAGUUACAAUUUAACUUAGUAAGCCAAAUCAAGAGACUAUAAAAAUGAUUUAGUAGCUAAUUUUGAGGUUUAAAGAAAUCUAUGACAGUAGGUUAAAAAUAUCAGCCACAAUUUUAAACUUACUAAACCGACUUCUCAGACUUUUCUUAUUAUUAUCUAACAGCUAGCUCAUCAACACAUUCAGGAUGGUCUACACUUCCUCCUACCAACAAAAAUGAAGCUAAAAUAUCUUUAAGAGUCUGCGCAGUAUCGGGGCAUGGAGCUGUGGUAUCGAAGUGAAACCCCCGUUUUAUAUCUUCAAACACUUUAACAAACAUUCUUGUGACAAAAACUACCUAAAAUGUCAGAAACGAUCUUUUGUGUCAAACAUUUAUUUGACGUGUAUUGUGAGCGUCCAUACGUUGAUGAGCUAGCUAGAACCGCACCACCACCGUCAAACCUCCAUUUCGAGCUGCUUUCAAUAAUAAAAUGUUAAUGUUAAACACUUACAGCUAGACUUUCUGGCUGAGCGGGAUUUAGAUGGCUUUAGGUCAAAUUACCAACCUAGUUAGCUUGUUAUCUUAUUAGUAUUCCUCAAGUUUACUUCUUACUUCUCAAUAGAUGAUGAUAA